AUUUCCCUCUUUCUUCAUUCUUUACACAUGCAAGUCGAACGGCAGCGCGGGCUUCGGCCUGGCGGCGAGUGGCGAACGGGUGAGUAAUACAUCGGAACGUGCCCAGUAGUGGGGGAUAGCUCGGCGAAAGCCGGAUUAAUACCGCAUACGACCUGAGGGUGAAAGCGGGGGAUCUUCGGACCUCGCGCUAUUGGAGCGGCCGAUGGCAGAUUAGCUAGUUGGUGGGGUAAAGGCCUACCAAGGCGACGAUCUGUAGCUGGUCUGAGAGGACGACCAGCCACACUGGGACUGAGACACGGCCCAGACUCCUACGGGAGGCAGCAGUGGGGAAUUUUGGACAAUGGGCGAAAGCCUGAUCCAGCAAUGCCGCGUGUGUGAUGAAGGCCUUCGGGUUGUAAAGCACUUUUGGCGGGAACGAAAAGGACUGUGCCAAUACCACGGUUCGAUGACGGUACCCGCAGAAUAAGCACCGGCUAACUACGUG
rnacentral:rRNA from 1 species